rnacentral:rRNA from 1 species
GACGAACCGUGCGAACGUUGUUCGGAAUCACUGGGCUUAAAGGGCGCGUAGGCGGGCGACCAAGUCAGGGGUGAAAUCUUUCGGCCCAACCGGAAAAGUGCCUCUGAUACUGGUCGUCUUGAGGGAGGUAGGGGUCGAGGGAACUGGUGGUGGAGCGGUGAAAUGCGUAGAUAUCACUAGGAACGCCGGUGGCGAAAGCGCUCGACUGGACCUCUUCUGACGCUGAGGCGCGAAAGCCAGGGGAGCAAACGGG